GGGGGCUAGCGUUGUUCGGAAUCACUGGGCGUAAAGCGCACGUAGGCGGAUCUUUAAGUCAGAGGUGAAAGCCUGGAGCUCAACUCCAGAACUGCCUUUGAUACUGGGGAUCUCGAGUCCGGGAGAGGUGAGUGGAACUGCGAGUGUAGAGGUGAAAUUCGUAGAUAUUCGCAAGAACACCAGUGGCGAAGGCGGCUCACUGGCCCGGAACUGACGCUGAGGUGCGAAAGCGUGGGGAGCAAACAGG
rnacentral:rRNA from 1 species